rnacentral:rRNA from 1 species
UCAAGAUUGGGACAACUACCGGAAACGGUACCUAAUACCGAAUAGUUGUUUUCUUCUCCUGAAUAAAACUGGAAAGACGGAGCAUCUGUCACUUGGGGAUGGGCCUGCGGCGCAUUAACUAGUUGGCGGGGUAACGGCUCACCAAGGCGACGAUGCGUAGCCGACCUGAGAGGGUGAUCGGACACACUGGGACUGACACACGGACCAAACUCCUACGGGAGGCAGCAGUAGGGAAUCUUCCUCAAUGGGCGAAAGCCUGACGGAGCAAUGCCGCGUGAGUGAUGAAGGUUUUCUGAUCGUAAAGCUCUGUUGCCAGGGAAGAACGCUUGUGAGAGUAACUGCUCUCAAGGUGACGGUACCUGAAAAUAAAGCCCCGGCUAACUACGUGCCAGCAGCCGCGGUAAUACGUACGGGGCAAGCGUUGUCCGGAAUUAUUGGGCGUAAAGCGCGCGCAGGCGGUCAUUUAAGUCUGGUGUUUAAUCCCGGGGCUCAACCCCGGAUCGCACUGGAAACUGGGUNGACUUGAGUGCAGAAGAGGAGAGUGGAAUUCCACGUGUAGCGGUGAAAUGCGUAGAUAUGUGGAGGAACACCAGUGGCGAAGGCGNNNCUCUGGGCUGUAACUGACGCUGAGGCGCGAAAGCGUGGGGAGCAAACAGGAUUAGAUACCCUGGUAGUCCACGCCGUAAACGAUGAGUGCUAGGUGUUAGGGGUUUCGAUNCCNUUGGUGCNGAAGUUAACACAUUAAGCACUCCGCCUGGGGAGUACGGUCGCAAGACUGAAACUCAAAGGAAUUGACGGGGACCCGCCCAAGCAGUGGAGUAUGUGGUUUAAUUGGAAGCAACGCGAAGACCCUUACCAGGUCUUGACAUCCCUCUGACCGGUACAGAGAUGUACCUUUCCUUCGGGACAGAGGAGACAGGUGGUGCAUGGUUGUCGUCAGUUCGUGUCGUGAGAUGUUGGGUUAAGUCCCGCAACGAGCGCAACCCUUGAUCUUAGUUGCCAGCACUUCGGGUGGGCACUCUAAGGUGACUGCCGGUGACAAACCGGAGGAAGGUGGGGAUGACGUCAAAUCAUCAUGCCCCUUAUGACCUGGGCUACACACGUACUACAAUGGCCGGUACAACGGGCAGUGAAACCGCGAGGUGGAACGAAUCCUAAAAAGCCGGUCUCAGUUCGGAUUGCAGGCUGCAACUCGCCUGCAUGAAGUCGGAAUUGCUAGUAAUCGCGGAUCAGCAUGCCGCGGUGAAUACGUUCCCGGGUCCUUGUACACACCGCCCGUCACACCACUGAGAGUUUAUANCACC